UUUUUUAUAUUUCUUCUAUUAAGUGGAACAAAGAUUUUUUACAUCAUUUUGGUUUCUUAAACAAAACAAAUAAAUAAAUAAAAAUCAGUAAUUAUCUUCCGCGAUCUGAGAUAAAUUAAUGCUUCAACUUUCUUCUAUCAUCUUUUGUGGCUGGGAAGGUAAGAUUGCCUAUUUAACUGAUAAUAGACAUAAGGAUAGGAUAAAUGAAGUUAUUGACCUUAAAGUACUACUUAAUUACUUUUUUUUGUUGAAUAUAACUUGCAUGGUUUCUGUUGCUUGAAUGCUCUGAUUUGAGCCAAAUAAUAUAAACUUUUAGGUUCUUUUGCUGUUUAGCUUCACUUGAGAUGUAAUAUCAUGUGGUCAGGCAGCAAAUUUUUAUGGCCUGGGCCAUAGCAUGCUGUAUAACAAUUUAAGAAUCAUUCUUUUUAAAUCUAAACUAUUGUGUCCCCUCCUUCCUCCCACGAAAGUGACCAUAUAUGAUCCUGACCGUUAGUGUAAAAGGUUUUCUGUAUUUGGUGGCUAAUGCUAGUAAAUUAGUAGUAUAUUCUAUGCUAAAAGAUUUUCUUAACCUUUUGUUGAUUUUCAUACCUUUGUUAUGUAAAUGUAAUACAACGUUACAUCCUUAGAUUUCUGGUAUUGAUGUCAUCCAUUUUAAAUUAUUGGGUAUUUAAGUAUCUAUUACAUAUCUAGAGUCUUCAUGCUUGAGUGUAUUUGUGUGAUUCAAUUCUCCGAACUUAUGAGUGGAUUUUCAUAUAUUUCCAAUUCCAGGCGGAGUGGACAAAAGAGAGGCUUAAACAGGUAUCUAUUUUCCACUAUGCAUCAUAUGGUCUUGUAGUCAAUCUCAUCACAUAUGGGGGCAUUAUUUAGUUUUGAAUGUGAAAAAUAAUGAAGUUGAUAUGAUACUUGUACUGAGCACUUUCACUUGCCCACUUAUCAAGAGGCUGCAUGAAAUUUUUUUAAUCAACAGUUCAUUUACUCUAUUUGGACGGCUUUCAGUUAGUUUUAACGAAAAAUGGAUGUGCACGAAUUUGUGAUUAUUCAGUUAAUACGAGAAACUUCAACUUUAAUGAGCGAGACAUGUAAUUAGUUCUAGGAAAUAAUCCUGCACUAUUAUUAAGUUAUACUAUGCACUGCUAGAAAUGCUUGUUGAAAAUUACCUAGUGAAUUCAAUUUGAAACUGAAUUGUUUGCAUAAAUAUGUGGAUUGCAUGAGUGCUAGACGUUGCUUGACUUAAUCUUGACAGGCAACGGGAAUUCAUUCUGUGAGUAGCGUGUAGGAGCUGUGGUGGUGUUUUUUUAUCAGUUUAGAAUCUAAUUGGUGUUAUUUCAACUUCCACAAUGAGUUUAGAAGGAAAUAUAGAGAAAUAAUUGACAUAUUACUCAGCACUGGAAGUAAGGAUUUGCUCUUUUAAGGUUGUGUUCCAUCUGUUUUUCUUCUUUUUCGGUGGGGUGGGGGAUGCAUUGAAUAUAAUUAAGUUGCAACUGGGAGGUGUUUACCUUUUGCAGAUAGCAUUGUCUUUUCAAUUCGAAUCGUUAGCAGAAUGCUAGGUUAUUUACAGAAUUAAGCUUAAAGUUUUCAUUUCAUUUUCCACUGGGUACAGAUGUAGUAUGUGAAUAAUUCUCUAUCUGAUCCAUAUAUGUCUUUAUCAUUGAUGAUCUUGUAGAUCUAUCUCCAGUAAAUUAAUAUUCAUGGGAUAUGAUUCAAUAUUUUCAUACAUAUCCAGUCUCUUAUUUGAAGUAUUGUUUCCCCUCAUCAUGUGGCAAACAUGAUACUAUAAGUCUCCAGAAAUUUUUAAGAUUCUUUGUUUUAUGUUGAAGAAGAGGUUGAUAGUCUAUUUUUAAAACAAAAUUCAGGGAUAUGCAUUCAAGUAUCAUAAUAAGGGGCAUAAGGCUUUCGAUGCGUGAUAGCUGUUGUUCAAUUUUAUAUGCAAAGGAAGCAAGAAAGGCGUGGAUUUAAGGAAUGAGAGGAGAGUGUGAAGAAAUGAGAAUUUAGAGGAACUGUUGUGGUGAUGUCAAAGUUAGUUCGUGUGGAAAAUAAAUGUAAUCCAGAUAUCAGGAAGUUGAAUACUGUUGGCAUGUUGGUGAAACAUUGUAAAGCAGAGGAUAUGGGAAACAUGCUGAGGUAGUUGGGAGGAUAGAAGUCUGCAGAAGGUGGGUCUAGAAGGAAUGAAAUACCAGGGUGGAAAGUUGAUGAAAAUUAGGGGCGAAACUAACUGGGGCGGAAGUUGGGUAAUAAACAACACAGUAUAUGUAUGCACAUAAGCUUUAUAUGAUCUUCUGAUGACUGCUGGAUAACGUGGAGAAUAUUAUUAACCUGUGCUAUUGCCCUUUCAAACAUGGAUAAGUGGACCAUGUGUCUCUAUUUAAGUUGUUCAAAUUUUUUUAGCAUAUCUAGGAGCAUUUUUGGCUGAGCUUAACUAACUCAAUUUACUUGUAAGUAAAUAAUUAAGUUUUGACAUACGUGAUUAUUUAUUGAUCAAAAUUGAAAAUAAGUUAUUUUACUUCUCUAGUCAUGGUCUUAGAUUUGGAUUUUUUAAUUUUUUUUUUCCCUUUGUUAGUCAACUGUCAAGAGGCAAACUGCAUAAUAUAGCAUGAUAUUUGAAUAUCUCUUGAUUUUUUCGUAAGUUAAUGUCUCUCUACUACAAAUAUCGACCAAAGGAGAGAGCACCUUGGAGUAUAAUGUUAAAACUUCAGGAGGAAAUGACUGUUACUGAAGGUUAAUUUUUUGUCAUGCAGCUAAUGGAGAACGUGAUCCCUGUCAUGGAAAAGCGAAGACCUUCACGUUUCCUUCAGAGAGUUCGUUCUGUGCCGUGGUAAUCAGAUUCUAGUGCAGAACCAUGAAGAUAUUUAAAUGCCAUUUCUCCAACGUAGGAGCAAGAUGUUAACAUUUUGUCUGCAAAAAAUGAAGAUUGGAUGGCACUUGUCAAUGCUAAAAAUGAAGAAUUAUACCAUUCAGGUCUGCCCGAUUCAGCAUCCGGACAUGCACUCUGGGUUUAAUAACUUAUUAUGGUGAUUGUUAGUCUUGGAAAGCAGUUAUUCUUCUUGCUGUAAAGUGAAAUAGCAUAUAGUAGGAUAGAAUUGGAGUGUAUUGGUAAUGAAAUUUUUGUGUUCAGUGAAGACCAGUUUAAUUAGAAGUGUUGAGCUUUAUAUAUUUAGCUAGUAUCCCAUUCCCAGUUGCUAAUGUAAGGGGAGAGGGGGUUGUAAUGGCUUCUUGUAUCACUUCAGCUAAUGGCUUAUGAAUUAUGAUAGCUCCUCCUUGACAGUGUUAUGCGCGUGCACGUAUAUAUAAAUCUUUAAUACUAUCCAAUUUUGUCAAGUUCAGUAUGCUGAAAGCAGUUUUUCUUAAAACGAACCUUUAGGUUGUGUUAGAUACACCAAAUUAGACCAUAUAAGAAUUAAAAUAUUAAUCUUAUAAUGAAGAUUAUUGGCUUUGUAUGGUAGGACGAUUAUACAGUAUAAAGAAUAAAUAUAAGUCAAAAUUUUUAUAACAUUGUGAACCUAUCAAGCCCUUGGUGAAGUUUUAAAUGCAGUAUCACAUUCUUGCUCAUCGCCCCCAUCGUAUUAGCUUGUCAGUUUGCCAAUCAGACGUCAAUCAUUGAAAACUUGCUUAUUAACCUUUAAAAAAAAAAGGUUGAACCCCAAGGGUCCCCCACCGUCCUGCCCAUGGAGCAUUGUGAGAGAUUAAUCUCGGGUUGUGUCCCAAUAGGCUAGGGAACAAGAGCUGUCUGUACACUAGUGCCCACAAAGAGUCCCAAUCCAUGUUUCAGGAAUCGAAUUCUCACAUUGCGAUUGCCAGCAAGACUGAGUAUACCUCACCCUUGUCCUUUGCACUACUGAAAUAUGCCCUGGGGGAGCCCAUGUUAGUAAUAAUAAAUACAAGUGGAUAGUAUAAUAUUUUCUUUCUUUUCUGUCUUUCAUACCGUACCAUUUGUAUCACAUGCUUCUGUUUGGAUUCUUAAAUGACAAAAUUGAUUACUUUUCUUAUAGAAGUACAAGAAAAGCAGAGAUUUGCCUUGGAUAUAUGUAUAUGAAACAACAGUGAAUUUAAGUGUGGAGGUUAAAUUUUCAAAUCUCCCCUUGAUAAUCGAACUCUCCACUGCCCAUUGCAUUUUUCGAGCCCAUUGCACCUGGUCUAUCCAUGACUGUCCACUGCCCAUUGCAUUUUUGUAGUGUAGGGCCGGCGCAUGAUUUCCCAAGAUUCCUUAUAUUUUUUUCGUCCACGGUCUUUCGUCCCAUUCUCACCAUCUCUCAAAUCAUUUCCGUUCUCUCCUUGAUAUCACAAAUCGUCACACGUCCUCUCAAAUCAUUUGUUAUUCAUGCAGUCCCUGCUCCGACUUCCAAUCCAAGGAGUCUUGAAUGGAGGAUACUCUCAAUAGGCCGGCAUCAACAUUAUGCAAAAUUUCCAACCCUUAGAAUGAAGUUCCUGGUGACUAAUAAGUCAAAACAGACAAGUCGAGAAAGAAGCAUCGGUAACUGAACUGUUCAGGGAUUGAAAAACCCUUCUCGUAGCAAAAUUUAGAUACAAAAAGAUCGGAGAACCCGCCCCUUCUUAUUGGGGGACUCAUGAAAGCUGAAAUGUUUAGGUAACAAUACUGAUAACCAAAACUCAAAUAUUAUGCACUUCCUGCUUACCAAGAAAAGACAAGAUGUGUUGAGCACUGGCAUAACCCGGUAAUCAAAAAACUCGUAAAGUUAGCAACUACUUGCAGAAUCUUUAAGGACAAAAUUGCAUAUAUUGAAAUAAGAACAUGAGUCAAUAGUAUGAAAACAUUAUUAUUUCAAUGUAUAUCGACUGUCUCAUAUCUUUGUCUGAAUGUAAUAUGUACAACAUGUGCAAUUCAGAAAUUCAUAAAAGCGCAAAGAAUUCUGUUUUUUCGAGCCCUGCUUUGGUCUCUAGUUUUAUGGUUGUAUGUGCCAAGGAAAAAAGAAAAGCAUUGAAGUAAUAUUUACCAUCUUGCAAAACUAAAAUUCUCACAUUAGACAAAUACAAAUUUACUCUGAAUUUUGAUUAUCUAAGGGCAAUAAAGGAUGAACAAUAAUAUAUUGGACCGGAGAACAUCCAAUUCUUUUCCACAUCUUUUACAUAACAUACUAUGAGAAAAUGAAAGACAUUAUCUCUUUGAACCCUUUUAUUCUGGGCUAAUUGCCUACCAUCAUUUGUUUCUUCCCUUAAUCAAAGAAAAACAAAACUCAUAGAACAUUAGGAAGUUCCAGUUAAGCUCACACGAAUCUCCUCUGUUCAAAUGGUAUUAAUCGUGACUAUUUGCUCGUCCAAUAGAGUUGAGACCCUCAGUCCUGCUGCGCACUAUUCUGUGGAACACUUCUCUAACCUGGCGCUCCAAUGGAUCCAAUCCAUCCUUUAUGGAUUCAUACACCAUACCUAACUCCUUUACUCUCUGUCUUGCUUCACCCUCUUUUUCUUCUGUCAAGGGGAACUGGACAGAAUCGAUCAACUCGUUCAUGUGCCGUGCACAUAUCUCAAUCUCGUGAAUCUCCUUCAACAACCCACAAGCAUUUUUCCUGUCUCGUUUCUUCGACACUUCCAAAAUCUUCUCAUGGAGGGAGAGCAUCGGAACUGCCCACAGGAACUGCUUAGUAAUGGAAAAGUUAGUCUGAAGGCCACGGUCUUGACAUGGGAUUGCAGCAACAAGAGCCCACAUUACAAACAAAAGCACAUAACUCAUAGUAAAAACCGUUUUUCGUGUAAUAUUAUUUUAUGGAAGAUUUUGUGGUUAAAAAUAAGAGAAAGAAAAAUAAAAUAUAAUAAAAUAAAAAUUAAUGGGACCAAACGGGAGCCAAAAUUUAUUAGCACUUAAACCACUAGAGAUGCAGGAUUCAAUGAUGACAAAAAAUCCUCAAUACAGUUAGAGCCUGUUUAGGCCCCAUUUUUUCACCAAAAAAAAUAAUUUUUUGAUCGUUAUUUUAUUAUUCCAGCCGUCAUAUUUGACUUUUUCUCUUACGGGUGGACCCCACUUUUCUCCUAACGGUCAAAAAUUCAAUUCUCAAAAUCACUCCAAAACAGACUCUUACUGGAUGUCAAUAGAUCAACUAUUAAUGGGGUGACUUUAUACUCUUCAAUGAUUCCUAAUAUGGUCAUGAGAUUUAUGGGCUCCAGUGACUUCAACAAUCUAUGGACUACGGUGAUUGAGUGAUGGUAUUUAAAAUAAAUCUGGUAUAUCCUUUUUUAGUGGACUUCCCCUUAUAUUUAAUGUCACACAUGUCCUUGUUUGGUUUGGCUAAAAAAAUCAAAUUUUUAUAAGAUUUUGAUAAAAGUUGAUAAAAUUUAUGAUUGAAAUGUAGAUAAAAAUUAUGAAUAUCAUAAAAUGAGUGGUUGAAAAUGAAUUUGACGAAUCAUAUUUUUUAAAGUUUUGAGAUCAAACAAGGGUAACAAGAUUAGACUGUUUGGUUGAAUUUAAAAGUUAUAAUUCAAAAAAAUUCCUAGUAAUAAAUAUGACUUGUAACUCGAAAAUAAGGUUUUUUUUUUUUUUUUUUUUAAGUAAAAAAUAAUUUACUUAUUUUAAAUAGAAUUAAACACAUAAUUUUGCAAAGCUUUCACUUGUGUUUUCGUCCUUCCAAAAGCUCUUAUAGAACAAGUAGAUUUGUUGAAAAAAGGAAAUUACAAGUAACUUGACUUAUUUUUAAGCAUAAUAAAGUCUAUCUAGUGGCUCAAGUAUCACUCUAUAUGACAUAUCGGCCACGUUUAAUGUUAUUGGGCUAAGAUAUUGUGAGUGCUUAAAUUAGAAUUUAAAUGGCGAGUUUCAUCGAACUUUAUUGAUUAAAAUGGUUGUAGGUUCAUUAAAUUUGUGGAUAUCUGGUGGAAAUAUUUCGAGAAUGGGGCUUGUUUGAGCCAUAUUAUUUUCAAAAAAAUACAUUUUUGAACAGUGAUUUGACACAUUUUAAUCACAUAUUCUUCAAUAAAAUAAUAUUAUACGUAAAUUUAAAUUUUUUUUUUAUUUUUUAAAUACUCAUUUCUCAUUGAUUUGACAUGAAAAAUGCAUUUCUUAGAAUGUGGUUCAAACGUGAACUAAAUUUUGUGAAAUUGAUUUUUGGAAAUGUAUCGUUGAAAAGUAUGGAAAAAUUAUUGGUAAAUGUGCAUAAUUAUUUUAUUCCUCUUUUAAGUAAAGCCACAAUCUACGUGCACACAAACGUAUGAACUGUGCCCCCGAGCAUAACCGAGUGGUACAGAGAACAGAAGUGAUGUUAUCUCAUAUCUUGUUGACAGUCGCAGUGUCGGGGUUCGAUUUUUGAGACAUGAAAUUUGAUUCCUUGUAGGCGCAGUGUACAGACAGCUCUUGUUUUCUGACCUAUUGAAAUACAUUUCGAGAUUUACCUGCCUCACAAAACUCCAAAGACGAGAUGGUAGGAGCCUUCAAGUUUGGGGUUCAAUCUUUUUUUUUUUUUUUUUUUUAAACGUAUGAACUGUCUCCCAAAAGAGAACGAAAUCUCUCCCACUACUCUCACUCUCCUCAUCACAAAAUCGCCAGAAAUACAAAUCCCUAGGCCUAUUCCUAUUGAGUGUCAACACAUGCACACUGUCGCGCACAGUUAUCACUACCGCACUCUUUGUCAUACUCGCACGCACAUACCCAGAAAAAAAAUAAUGGAAAGGGGCAACCUGAUGGUGAUUCUGAUUAAAUCCCACUAAUAGUCAUAUUUUUUGGGAUUUUUUUGUUAAUUAAUGGCGUCGUCGAAGCUGGUGCCGUCGCGGAAUUUAGAUCUCAAGAGAAAACUUUCUGGUUGUGCUUCGGGUUCUUCUACGAGGUUGAUUGAUUUCUUGAGAAAUUCUUAUGUGGAUACUGAUACGGGCUCGGACUCUGACCCGGUUACGGAGGGGGAAGGUUCUAGUACUUUGUUGAAUGCGGAGAUUACGUUGCUUGAUGCUGCCGGAGCUGUGACUCCGAUAAGUGAUUGCGAAGUGGGGAACGUGGAGCCCCCUCGUGCUAUUAGGAAGACGGUUGAUGAUGUCUGGAGGGAGAUUGUGGCUGGAAAGAAGAGGCAGACCGAGCAGGUGCCCAAGCAGGAGAUGAUGACUCUGGAGGAUUUUUUGGUGAAGGCAGGGGCCGUGGAGGGUGAGGCCAGUGGUGCCGGGGCAGGAGUGACUGUGGAGGUGAAGGAGGAGAUGAUGAGUGGUGGGAUUUAUGGGCAUGAAAAUUCUCCUGUGGUGGGAAUGGCGACUGGGUUAGAGAUAGGAGUGGAUGUUGGGGAUUUUGGGAACGGGAGAGGGAGAGGAAAGAGGACCAUGAGCUUGAUGGAACCUUUGGAUAAGGUGGCACAACAAAAGCCAAGGAGCUUGAGCUUGUUAGAACCGUUGGAUAAGGCGACACAACAAAGGCAGAGGAGGAUGAUUAAGAAUAGGGAGUCAGCUGCAAGGUCAAGAGAGAGAAAGCAGGUAAAAGAAAUUCCAUUCUCUUUUAGUAUUGGUUAGCGGCAUUUUGGAAUUUUUCUUGUUUCUGAUUAAUUUUGUGCCUGAUUUAGGCCUAUCAAGUGGAAUUGGAGUCAAUGGCAGUGAGACUUCAGGAAGAGAAUGAGCAGCUUUUGAAAGAGAAGGUAAUUAAAAUUGCCUCUAGUUUGUACUUUGAAAAAUGAAGAUCUUGACAACUCCAUGAAUAUAAGUUUACAGGACUUUUUUUGAAUUGCUGAGUUCUGACUGCUAAUUUUUGGAGUUCAAAUGUAGAAGUUGAUUUAACUAAACUUAAACAUGUGACCCACAAUUUUUGUAACUUGGAGAAUAAACUGUAUCACAAUGACUUCUUUUGUCUAAAAAUUCAUUGUUUCAUAUCUUCUGAGUUUUAACAGUUUUCUGGGUGCCUUUGAUUGGUUGGUAUCUUUAUUUAUCCACCUUGAUUUGCUGUUGGUUUUCUGCUUCCUUUAAAAACUUGCGACAGCCCAAGUUUCUCUGUUUUCACAUGGCAUGAUCCCCUACAACCCCAUCAAAGUAUUACCUUUGUUAUUGUCUAUGAGGAUAGCAGGCUCUUUGUGAAUCGAGGCUCCUGGUGUACAUAUACAUAAUAUGUAUAUCUUCACCAUUGGUUGUUUCACAGAACUUUACGUGUUGAUUUUGGAACUCCUCAACAUCAUCUUUUCAAAGCAUUUAAUGUGCUUUUAUCAUUUUGGUGUCAUGCCAUGUAACUAUAAGCAGAUUUUGUAUACAUAUGCUUGCAUGUCCCUUGGUAUUGGUACCAAAAGUGGAAAUAAUUGGAAGCAAGAAUAAUGAGAGUUGGAUUUCAGUCUCUUACGUUCUCGUAAUCUUUGCCUUGUAUUUGAAGUUCUAAAUCAUGUCAUAAUUUUUAAAUCACUUCGCUUCAUUUUGUAUAGAUGAAGUCAAUACUUAAUAACUUUUCACUUUGUUAUCUGGAACUUUACUUCAUCUUUCCUUGUGUGCUCAGCGGUACACAUAUACUGCAAGUACACAGUAAUCACUUCUCAUUUAUCUAAUACUAUUAUGAGAUAAUUAUUCUAUUUCUUGAUUUUAGUUUCUUCAUGAUGGCUAAACAAAUAAAUACCAUCAUUCAACUGAUUUCUUAUAAAAUUUAAACUUAUAUAUCAUGUCUAUCAAUUAACGUGUUUGUUAAUUUGCUUUUAUGAUGGUAUUCAAAGGAAAACCUUAUGGUCUGCAAAUGAAGUUUGUACUUUAAAUUGAAUCAUUGAUAAUACUAUCAGAUGCUCUUGUGCAUCUAAUUUUUUAUAUUUCUUCUAUUAAGUGGAACAAAGAUUUUUUACAUCAUUUUGGUUUCUUAAACAAAACAAAUAAAUAAAUAAAAAUCAGUAAUUAUCUUCCGCGAUCUGAGAUAAAUUAAUGCUCAACUUUCUUCUAUCAUCUUUUGUGGCUGGGAAGGUAAGAUUGCCUAUUUAACUGAUAAUAGACAUAAGUAUAGGAUAAAUGAAGUUAUUGACCUUAAAGUACUACUUAAUUACUUUUUUUUUGUUGAAUAUAACUUGCAUGGUUUCUGUUGCUGGA
rnacentral:lncRNA from 1 species